rnacentral:rRNA from 2 species
CGGCUGGCGGGUGCUAUACAUGCAAGUCGAACGAACUCUGGUAUUGAUUGGUGCUUGCAUCAUGAUUUACAUUUGAGUGAGUGGCGAACUGGUGAGUAACACGUGGGAAACCUGCCCAGAAGCGGGGGAUAACACCUGGAAACAGAUGCUAAUACCGCAUAACAACUUGGACCGCAUGGUCCGAGUUUGAAAGAUGGCUUCGGCUAUCACUUUUGGAUGGUCCCGCGGCGUAUUAGCUAGAUGGUGGGGUAACGGCUCACCAUGGCAAUGAUACGUAGCCGACCUGAGAGGGUAAUCGGCCACAUUGGGACUGAGACACGGCCCAAACUCCUACGGGAGGCAGCAGUAGGGAAUCUUCCACAAUGGACGAAAGUCUGAUGGAGCAACGCCGCGUGAGUGAAGAAGGGUUUCGGCUCGUAAAACUCUGUUGUUAAAGAAGAACAUAUCUGAGAGUAACUGUUCAGGUAUUGACGGUAUUUAACCAGAAAGCCACGGCUAACUACGUGCCAGCAGCCGCGGUAAUACGUAGGUGGCAAGCGUUGUCCGGAUUUAUUGGGCGUAAAGCGAGCGCAGGCGGUUUUUUAAGUCUGAUGUGAAAGCCUUCGGCUCAACCGAAGAAGUGCAUCGGAAACUGGGAAACUUGAGUGCAGAAGAGGACAGUGGAACUCCAUGUGUAGCGGUGAAAUGCGUAGAUAUAUGGAAGAACACCAGUGGCGAAGGCGGCUGUCUGGUCUGUAACUGACGCUGAGGCUCGAAAGUAUGGGUAGCAACAGGAUUAGAUACCCUGGUAGUCCAUACCGUAAACGAUGAAUGCUAAGUGUUGGAGGGUUUCCGCCCUUCAGUGCUGCAGCUAACGCAUUAAGCAUUCCGCCUGGGGAGUACGGCCGCAAGGCUGAAACUCAAAGGAAUUGACGGGGGCCCGCACAAGCGGUGGAGCAUGUGGUUUAAUUCGAAGCUACGCGAAGAACCUUACCAGGUCUUGACAUACUAUGCAAAUCUAAGAGAUUAGACGUUCCCUUCGGGGACAUGGAUACAGGUGGUGCAUGGUUGUCGUCAGCUCGUGUCGUGAGAUGUUGGGUUAAGUCCCGCAACGAGCGCAACCCUUAUUAUCAGUUGCCAGCAUUAAGUUGGGCACUCUGGUGAGACUGCCGGUGACAAACCGGAGGAAGGUGGGGAUGACGUCAAAUCAUCAUGCCCCUUAUGACCUGGGCUACACACGUGCUACAAUGGAUGGUACAACGAGUUGCGAACUCGCGAGAGUAAGCUAAUCUCUUAAAGCCAUUCUCAGUUCGGAUUGUAGGCUGCAACUCGCCUACAUGAAGUCGGAAUCGCUAGUAAUCGCGGAUCAGCAUGCCGCGGUGAAUACGUUCCCGGGCCUUGUACACACCGCCCGUCACACCAUGAGAGUUUGUAACACCCAAAGUCGGUGGGGUAACCUUUUAGGAACCAGCCGCCUAAGGUGGGACAGAUGAUUAGGGGAAGUCGUAACAAGAGCUGC